GUUCAAACACGGAAAUGGUUAUAAUCGUUUUUCCACCAUUCAUUUUAUCCCUGCAUUGUAGAUUUUAGAAACACUUCAAAUAAGUGUUUCGCGUAGGCUUACGUUUUGAUAACCAUGUAAAUGUCUAUCGUUAAAGGUGACGUUUAUCAAUAUAUUCGCCUGUAUUUAGCCCCCCAAAAAUGAAAAGCUAAUUAGCUGCUAAUGUGGCUAUCAUACAGAACUCAUACAGAACUCAGCGUCAUGUCACUCAUCAGGGUCAUGAUAAUCUGGAUGUGUCUGCCGAAUAUAGACAAAAAUGCGCUGCCCUAUGGGACUCCAAAUUACGGCCGGUUGUGAUACAGCCUGAAAUCAAACCAGUGUCAGUAGUGACGCCUCUAGCACUGAGAUGCAGCGCCAGACAGCUGCACCACUCGGGACAAUUGAUACGUUUGCUGUUACCCUCUGGACAGCAGAUCAUUAGCCUUCCCUUACACGUGAGGACCUCGAUUUGAACACCGCAACUGAGAUGGACUGACGUUGACGGACACACGCUGAGACCACGAGUAUGACUGGACAUGGGAUGGAUAUUUAUGAAGACCUAAAAGGGGUGCAAAAGCACACCAACUUAUUUUUUAUUCCAUGGCCAACCAUCUCGGGCUGAAAGCCUCAACCUAAUGGGUUACAACUGACAAUUUCUCAUUAGAUAUUGCGUCUUACACAGAUCACAGAUUAGGGUAUAUAUUCCAUGUCAGACUUUUCAAUGCCACCCUGAAGGUUGCCAGGGCAAGCUGUUUCUUGUACAUACAUUCAAUUGUAAAAUGCACAAACAUUUUAGUAAAAUGAGUAUUCUUGAGUGAAUAACAAAAUCCCACUUUUGUAUGUCCAAUAGGUUAUGAAAAUUUAACAUGACCUUAUGGUGAGUGACAUUUAAUGAAGUGAGAUGACUGGAUUAAUAUUUACAUUCAAGUUCUCUCUGUACACAAUACAAUUGCUUGAAAAAUCAACCGCAAUAUGAAUGAAGAAAAGAUCCAUGGAAGGGUGAUCCAAAGGGGGUUGGUUGUAUCUACACAGUAAAAAACAUAUAUUUGGCUUUCUAUUCGUGCAUAUCUAUUCCGUGCUCUUAAACUGAGCUCAUAUCUCCCAUGGUCUUAACUUAAAUAGAUAAAGUUUUGACCAGUUCAAAUCCAGGCUGAAACUCCCCAUAAAAGAGUCUUUAUCAACAGGAUCAUAUUGCCCUAUCAGGUUAGAAUGUUGUUUAAACAAGAGUAAAACUGGGUUAAAUGAGACCUAUUCUUAGUUUGAGGAACAGCACUUCAUGUAAGUCCAUCUCUCGUGAAGUAUUAGCUGCAUUAUCUGCUGUAUGGAAACUAUUCCACAAUGGGUGGUACCACAUACACUGAACAAAAAUAUAAACACAACAUGUGUUGGUCCCAUGUUUCAUGAGCUGAAAUAAAAGAUCCCAGAAAUUGUCCAUGCGCAGAAAGCUUAUUUCUCUCAAAUGUUGUGCACAGAUUUGUUUACAUCCCUGUUAGUGAGCAUUUCUCCUUUGCCAAGAUUAUCUGACUGAUUUCCUCACAUGAACUGUAACUCAGUAAAAUCUUUGAAAUGGUUGCGUUUAUAUUUUUGUUCAGUAUAGUUCUGCAGUAGACUUGUCAUGCUAUAAAAACACCUGUUGC
ensembl:lncRNA